UGCCCACUUGGGCAGAGGGAUGCUCCUCCUCUCACCGCAGGGUCCCUCUGCUUGAGCUUAGACAUCCUGCUUUUGCUAAGAGUGUGCCAGGGAUGUCUUGCAGGGGCUGAGAGUGGAAAGGAGCUAAAGGUAAGUCUAAAAGGGCUGUGAUACCUGAAGCUGAUUGUCCUGGAGAGAACUGGAACCUAGGAGGCUCUGCCUGAACGUGAGGAAACACUUCUUUGCUGUGAGUGGAAAGGGGCUAAAGGUGACUUGAGAAAGUUUCUCCUUCAGGUUUUCUCCUGCAGUCAGAAUCAUAAAGGUUGGAAAAGACCUCAAAGAUCAUAAAGUCCAACCAUCAAUCGCUGGAAACCACAGAGGGCUCUGAGCUAGGAGGAGCUGGCGGGGCCAUGCCUUGCUUUGUUGAGCAGUGAGCGUGCCACCAAACCCUCUCCAGGAAACAGCAAUUGUAACUGAGCCUUCCAGCAAAAUUUCACAGGGCUUUCCUCCCCAGCAGGAUAAAAUUAGCCAAGCUCUCUCGAAAUGACAGCUAAGAACUCCAGCUUCCCUCAGAUGACCUCAAUGGAGUCAUUUGUUGCUUAAAUGACAGACAAAUGCAGUAAUUAGGUCUAUUUAGUAAAGGGGAGGUGAAAGGUCAAACUACUGGGCAAACUGUCUCCACUGCUUGACUUGGUGACCAAGCUGGAGAUUUGCAGGAGGCAAUGUUUGUACAACAACCUGACACGGGCAGCAGGUCCCUGCUCGGCGGCAGGGCUCCCGGUUGUGUUGCAGCCUGAAAUCCCCUGUUUCUCCUAAUAAAACCCUGAACUCAC